rnacentral:rRNA from 1 species
UACGUAGGGGGCAAGCGUUAUCCGGAAUUACUGGGUGUAAAGGGAGCGUAGACGGUAAUGUAAGUCUGGAGUGAAAGGCGGGGGCCCAACCCCCGGACUGCUCUGGAAACUAUGUUACUAGAGUGCAGGAGAGGUAAGCGGAAUUCCUAGUGUAGCGGUGAAAUGCGUAGAUAUUAGGAGGAACACCAGUGGCGAAGGCGGCUUACUGGACUGUAACUGACGUUGAGGCCCGAAAGCGUGGGGAGCAAACAGG